ACUCCACUCUUCUUUUUCCAUACGACUCCAUGUGAGCUUCUUUUGACAAUGGGACCUCUCAAGUCACCAUAAAUUAGACAAGGAUUUGCCGACCUUUUUGCCACUCCUUCUCUCUCUAGAUCUACUGGUUUUCCUUCCGGCUCCCUGUAAUUCUUGGACAUAUGAGCUUCAUACAAAAUAUUCAAGAACGUGAUUAUCAGCAAAGGGCAUCUUUCUUUUUUUUGGCUAGGAGCCUUAGUUUUAUCAUAAAUGUUAUGCUAUUGGAUUCUUGGGAUUGUGUUGUGUUGUGUUUAGUGAAGAAUGAGAUUUGCUCUUAAAUAGCCGAUAAGAUUAUUUAUUUUUCUUGGGUUUUGUUGCAC
rnacentral:lncRNA from 1 species